AAAAGUUGUCUCCCUUUCUUGCUUUCUUCCUAAAGCAGACUCGAGUGAGUGAGACAGAGUGUGAGGGAAAAGAAAGUGUAAGCUUCACCAUCAGCUAACUAUACGAACGAAAACAGAAGGGAGGUCGAGUGAGGAGUUGUGAUAGCAAACUUGAGCAGUCUGCAUUAUCGAUUUGUAAGGGAAAAGAGGUAAGAAUCUACCAUAACCUUCUGCUUAUUUGGCACAAAUAAGUAUAUAUACAAGCUGCAUGUUAGUUUUAGCAAGGCAUAAUGAGUUUUAACCGAGGAGAAAUCUGAUAAAGGAGAAAAAGAUGAGAACUGGACAGAAAUGGAGGGAACCGAGAGUUGUUGUUGAGUUGCAGCCCAUAAAUAAAGAAAAUUUUCCGUAAUAACCUCUUAGUUAUUCAGUACACUUGAAUAUUAAGGUUGCAUGUUGGAUUGUAGCUAAGAAAAACUAAGCUUGGUUGAAGGAAAUAGUUGGAAGUUUCUGCUAUGCUGGCCGAAGGAGGAAAGACAGAAAUGUCCAAGUUUCUUUAUAUAUUUUGGUUCUAAACUCCUACGUUGAGGCUUAGUUCAUUGCAUAAUAUUUUAGUUUUGGCAUGCAUGUUAGAUUUGGGUAUGAAAUGAAGUAGUUAAUGGAGGAAUUUCUUGCUAAAAGAUUGAUUGCUGUCCGAAGCUUUCUAUCAAGGCCGAGAGAGAGAGAGAGAGUUAAACCUCUGAUCAGUUUUUCCUUCAAACUCCACUCUGUAAACUUUCACAUCUGAUAUCUAAAGUUACUGGGUAGUUUAAUACUUGUAUUUGGCAUGAUGAGCUGGAGUUAAAAUUGAAGGAGUUAUGGUAAAAAUGUUGCAUAUUAAACUGCGGCACUGCUAGAAGCUUUAGUUGUCCAAUGUCUUAGCUGAUGUCAGAUUGUUGUGCGUGGCUGUUGGGUUGAAUAAUCUGUUGAAACUAGAUGCUCUUUGUCUUGGUUUAUGCUGGACUGAAUGUACUUUAAAUAUUUAGAGCUUUAAGCAAGUGAAAGAAUAGCGUUUUCGCUGAAGGUUGAAGUAACGUUACUAGUUUUGGUUGCUGUCCCAGAAAUGAAACAGAUUAUGCUUCUGACCGUCCCAUUUUGGCCUUGAAAACGCGAUAACUGGAUGUCGAUGUCUUCAUAGGAAAUGUAGGUCUAGGUUUUAGCUUCGAAACGCUAUAAAAUUCGCCUCAAUCCGAUAAGCGUAACUCCAAUUAUGAUCAAAACACCCGAGGAUGGCAAAGCUGCCUUUCUUUUUGUUCCCGAAUGCACUUUGCUAAGAUGCUAACUGUGAGGAACCAACUUUUAACCAGCAUUUCCUCUAAUUUUCAACUUUGUAAGCUUUCAUAAAUGAUAGUUACGGUUAGUCUGAGAUUUAAUGGCUAUAUAUAGCUCCACAAGUAGAGUUAAACUAAAGUAAAUGAGAGGAAAACUCAUGAUAAUUAAAUUGGCUUCUAAUUACUUAAUACUGCCUUUACAAAUAAUUUAAAGACUAUAAAAUUUGAGGGACUGGUGUACUGGAAUAAAAUUUAAUUUACAAACAAUCUAGAGUUUAAUUAAUUAAAAAGGCGACCAAUAGAGUGCUCCUAAGCCAUAAUCUUAGAAUCUUGAGUGGAAAAUGAUUUAAUUCUAGAAUAAAUAUCUUAUAAAUUAUUAACUUGGGAAAACAGGUAUAAUUCUUGAUUAAAACAAUAAAGUCAAUAAGUUUCAAAAUAAAAUGAAAAAUGAAUAUUGAAUAUAUUAUAUUUGUACUUUAAAGUCAAACUUGAUUUUAAUAGUUCAAGUGAUAAAGUAAGAACAAUAAGUGAACAUCUACAAACUAUGUAUUUGAUUUGGAAUUAUUAACUUGUCCAGGAAGUAGCUGUGAACCAGAAAAUCGACUCGAGACUCGAGAGUAAUUUAUUUGGAUAUUUGGUGAGUGUUUUCUGAAUUUAUGUGUUAAACUGCUUAUGUGUACCUAAGUGCAAUUAUAUGGCAAAUGUGCUUAUUAUGAAAUAUUGCUAAGUGAUUCAUUGGAAGCGUAUCUCAAUUGUCCCUCGUCUUCUAAGUCGAGGGUGUACUUUAUCGCACUUGACUUAGUUGAACUUGAAGAUUGAUAAUUGAUCAAGUGAUAUUGUAAGUGUGCAUGACUGUAAGCCGUGUGUGUACUUUAUCACGCCGGCUGAACUGGGCCCCAAAACCCUCUGUUCAACGGACUAUUCGAGCCAGCAAAGGGCUUGGUCGGGUAGGACGGUAGGUUUGGGUAAGUGUUUUGGUAUGCUUGAGUAUUACCACGGUGUACUAGAUUACUGAUAUUGAUAUGGCCAUCCAAGUGAGGGAAGUGUUUAUUGUUUUGGAGGUUAUAAGGAGGAGUUCGGCGGAGUGUGUAGUGCAUUGAAGUGGCUCUAAUGCGAGCACCGUAUCCUUUUAAAAGUGAUUGUUCAGUGAAGUGUUUCCUCAAUUGCUAAUGAAAGUGAUUGUACAGUGAAAUGUGCACUAUUUAUUUAAUUGUAUUGAUUCAUGUGAUUAUUAAAUGUUACUUGCAUGGAAACCUCACGGGCGUAAGCUCACCCUUUUAGUUUUGUUUUCCUUACAGGAGUCAAAGAUUGAAGAGUGAUUGGAUUGAACUAGAAAGUUAUUUUGGGAAGAUCCAUUAUUCUGUGUAUAUAGUGUAGGCAUGGUCUCUGUUGAAUUUUGAAACGGUUGAAUUUUUGUUUGAGUUGGUGUGAUAUUAAGAAUGGAUAUUUAGAACAGGUAUUUUGUUUCUUUUAUUGGACAAAUUUAUGUUUCAAACUGAUUGGAGAUGUACUUAAGAGUGAAUGUUCAGUUGUUCAAUAGUAAUGUUAUCUUUGAAGUUAAUGUAAGUGAGUGAGUUCUGGCGAGAGUCAGGCAGACGAUUCGCUAACUUCUAGAGUAGACCCUAGGAGAAGGUGGGGCCGUCACACUUUAGAAUUGUCAAUUUCUGACAAAUUCAAAGCAAAAUUUUUGCCUCUUAUUUUUACUGAGAAAAGUUCAUUCCCAGCUGGAUCAUGUAUAAUACAAGUCCUAUUUUUGAAGAUGAUAGAAUAAUUCUUUUCCAAUAACUGUCCAACACUUAAUAGAUUUUGAUUAAUUUUAGGUACAUACAAAACAUUAGAAAUAAUUUUCGUACCUGAACCAUAAUCAAUAGCAACACUACCUUUGCCUUUCACCUCAAUAUAAUCUCCAUUUCCAAUUCUGACUUUGGAGAUUUGCGAUUUAUCAAGUUUCCUAAAUAUAGAUUCAUCAUAUGCCAUGUGAUGAGUGCAACCACUGUCUAUUAGCCAAGUUUCAGUAUUGAAAUUAUUGCUUGCAAAACAUGUGGCCAUGAAAAGUUGCUCCUCAUCUUGUUCAUCAACCAUCUGAACGUGAUGUUCUCUUUUUCCUUUAUUUUUGCAAACUCUCUCCAUAUGUCCCAUUUGCUUAUAAAACCUACAUUGAAUGUCAGAUCUAAACCAACAAUAUAAUGAAAGAUGUGAGGUUUUCUUACAGUGUGGACACGGAGGAUUUCUGCCAUUUUUCUUCUCAUCUUUGCUAUUUUUUUCUUGACAAUUUCUUUCACCUUGUCGAAUUUGAUCCUUGUUUAUUGCUUGAAAAGCACAUUCAAUGACUUCUUCACUUCUUAUUGCUCGUCUUUGUUCUUGUGCCUCUAGAGCAUUGAUCAAUUCUGGCAAGGUCAUUCGAGAGAGAUCUCUUGAAUCUUCAAGAGAGGAAAUCUUGACUUCAAACCUUUCUGGUAAACUCACCAAGACUUUCUCCACAACUCUGCUAUCUGGAAGUUAUUCUCCAAUUAAUCUGAUUUUGUUCACAAUAUUUAAGAGUCUGUCAGAAUACUCUUUAAUGUUUUCUUUGUCUUUCAUCCUAAGGAGUUCAAAUUCUCUCCUAAGGUUCAAAACUUGAAUCUGUCUUGUUCUAUUAUUGCCUUGAAAAGCCACUUUGAGAGCAUUCCAAGCUUCUUUUGCAGUUUCACAAGUCAUAAUUUUUGUGAAUACUGCAUCGGAAACUGCUGAAUGAAUGCAAGUCAUGGCUUUUGACCUCCUUUUGACUGCAUCUCUAUGGGCUCUCAUCUCUGCAAUAGUUGGAUCUUCUGACAAUUCAGGAACAGGAUCUAUCUCUACCACAUCCCAAAGAUCAUUAGCAUCCAAGUAUGACUUCAUUUUGACAGCCCAGACUUGGUAAUUUUCACCAGUAAAACUUGGAGGAUUGGAUAAGAAGUUGUUUCUUAGCAUUUUGAUGUUGAGGACUUAAGUGUGAAAAAGGAAUUCUCACCAGAUUCACUCACUCUCAAAGAAACAGGCCCUUAAGAUUUAGGCUCUGAUACCAUUUUAUUAGUUUUUUGGGGCAUAAACUAAGAAACAACACCCUAGUGUUGCAAAAAAAACUUAUAAGAGACUUGUAUUGAAGGCAAAAAAUGAGCUUAUGUUCUACAUUCAUCAACUCACUAUUUAUAGUGAUUACAUGAAACAAACUAGCAAAAUAUUCAACUAAUAAUUAUCCUAAAAAUCUCAACAAAAAUAUAAUCUUCUACUACUAGCAAAUCUUAGCUAAUAUAUUUGUUAACAAACCAACAUGAUCUUUGGUUAACAAAUAUCCUUAUUUUUUAAUAACUAAAUUAUUUUGAUAUCAAACCCAAUAUGAUAAAAUCAGUAGGAAAAGUUGGCAUAUCUCAACAUAAUUUUGUGGGAUAGAUUUUAUACUUUAUGGGAUAAAAUGUCCAAAAUUGAAGUACUAAAAUAGGAAGGAUUUCAUAUUUUAGGGAGGAAAGUGUCUAAUAUUAAAAUUUAAGGACUAAAAUGAGAGUGUGUUUAUAAUUUAAGUGUCUAAAAUAGAAUUUAGCCUUUUGUAAUUAACAAAAUCAAACUGAUGUAAUUUGCUAUUCCAUUAUUAACCCCUAAAUGAGAGGAAUAGAGGCCUGUCCAGUUAAUUUUGUCCAAUUCUGUCCAAUUAUUGUAAUUCGUACAACUUUUGCAUAAAUUCAUACAACUAUGAUGCAUUCCAGGAUUAGUCACAAGAAUUCACCAAAUACUGUAAGAUUUACACAAUUAGAUAGACUGGAUAAAAGUAUAACACAACAACAAUGGGCACCACUCUCUAAAAUGAGAUCUCUCUCUAGUAGAGACUCCUCUCUCCAGUGUGGGAGCCAAAAAGUUUCAAACUUUCCAAAAUUCAAAACUUCAAAAUCAAACACUCCAAAUUUCAAAACACAGGCUCCAAAACCGUGUCCAAAAGCCGCCAAUCCAAUAUGUCCAAGUGAUCCAAAGCACAAAAUACACAAAUCUUUUAGCAAACUACCAAACAACUAGUAUCAGCUCUAAAGUUAUAGUGGAGGUUGUCUUAGCAGCGGGAUGCAAGCUUAACUCUGUCCCCAUUAUUGAACUCAGGAAGCAUUGGUAUUGUUGGUCAUGGGGUCAUAAAAGCAGCUUAACUCCACUUGUUUAGAAGUUUUAACUUUUGUUUUCUGGGCUUUAUACUCUUUCCUUGUUUUUGUAUUUAUUCCGUUUCAAUUGUGUUUCCUCGUGGUUAACUCAGGUUGAUCUGACUCUAAUACUCCCAAGAAGUAGACAAACCUGAUCCUAGCAGUUGCAAUUGAUACAGGCACCAUUGAGAAGCACUGCAGUAUGGCGGAGACCCUUACAAAGGCAUUCCAAAGGUUUGAUCUAAGCAACAAAGAAAUGGAAGGAAUAGAUCUGGCGAUAGAGGAUGUGCUAGCUGGAGUUGAGGAAUGUAAGUUGAGCUUGGUAGGAAGAAUCAUUGGAGAGAAAGUUGCAAAUUUUACAGGGGUAAAAAACUAUGCAUCACACGUGUGGGCUACCCCAGAAACUUGUAGGUUAUUGAACUAGUCCCAAAUGUCUUCCAGUUUAACUUUGAAGAAGAAAAAGACAAGGAGAAAGCUCUGAAUGGAAGGCCAUGGGUUAUUGAUAACCAGUUACUAGUUAUAAAGCCAUGGGCACCAGGUAUAGAGAGGAGCCUUCCAUAUAUCUCACAUUUGGAUCCAAGUGUGGAACCUCCCAAUCCACUGGUUGAGGAAAGCAGUGGGCUUUAAGAUCAGACAAAUGUUCUCCGUAGUGAAAGAAGUUAUCAUCACACUAGGAGGAGGAAAGGAGGGGAGGCAUAUGAAACUACUGGCAGAAAUUGAUAUAUCACUACCAUUGGGAGAGGCACCACUAUCAAAUUCAAUGGAGACCCAAUCUGGGUUGAGUUUAGAUAUGAAAAAUGCCCAAAUUUCUGCUACAAAUGUGGAAUAAAAAGGCAUGGAGAUAAAACAUGCAAAACAAGUGUGAAAAAAGAGCAUAACCAGAGAGAAGAACAAUUUGGGGCAUGGAUGAGAGCACGGAACAUCAUGGCUUCUCCUCUUAGGGCCAGCAGAACAUCAGAAGGAGGCAUAGUAGGGAGGGUAGAAGCACAGAAGCAAAAAGAGAUUAUGCUACAAGAGGGAGUAGGGGUGAGGGUCCAGAAAAGUAGGAUAGAUAUAAAUCAAGAGAGUAGAGAAGAGGAAAUGAGGAAAAAUGAAAGGAGUAUGGAGCAGAAAGAGGAGAAAAAUUCAAAGGAAGAGGGAGAAAAAAUAAAAAAAAAUUGAGGGAGUAGAGAGGGAAGAGGGAGUCAGUAAAGGUAUGAAGGUACAAAGUCUGAGAAUGAAUAAGGGAGACAUAGAACAAAAGGAACAAAAAGAAAAUGAAAACAAAAAAGUACUUGAAAUACUCCAAGUGAUGGACACGGAUGAAUGUGAAAAGGAAAGUGGGUUGAACAAAAAUGAGGGACAAAGGGUUGAGGAAAACCAAAGGAAUAAGGUGAAAGAGCAGGAUAGAGAUGAAAGGGGAGGAGUACAGCCAAGGAGGAGGUCAUGCAUCACAAAAAAGCCUCUGGCUGAUAUCACAAAUGAACAAGGAAAGCCUAGGAUGAGAGGAAAGAGGAAGUUAACAAGUGAUCGUGAGGACUUGUAAAAUUCUUCAUAUUUUCUUAUAAUACCCUUUUAUUUUGAGUAAUUUACUUUAUAAUAUCUUUACUACUAAAUUACUCCCUCACUAGUUGGAAUAAAUAAUAGAAUCAAGAGUUUUAUCUUUACUUUUAUAGAUAGGGUAAACUAAAGUUUUUGCGUAUUUUGGUAGUGUGAUUAAUUGGUAAGGAGUGUGCACUAAAUUUGGUGGGUAAGAGUGAGUAUUAGGUAGGAGAAAGUGUGUGAUUAGAAGUGCUAAUAAUAAGUGAGUGAAUCACAGGUUAAAACACAAGUACGAGAGAGUUAAGGAAAAUCGGUUUGAACCGACGUGCACCGUUUGCUACCGAUCGAAUACACCAUUUAACCACUACUUUCUUGCCCUAAUCCUCUUAUUUUUAUUUGAGCUAAUCAGCCCUAAAAUAUCCCCUAAAGUAUCCGAAAUUUUGGACCAAAGAAAAGGGAGAAAAGAAAAAAAAAAAGAAGCCAUCUUGGUGCGACACUUGUUGGCAAUCCAUGAAAGUUUGACCAAGCUAGUUUCUUUCCUUCUUAUCUUUUUUCUUGGAUCAUUUUUCUUCAUUUUUCCUUCAUCUUGGCCAUGACUUUGGAGAGAAAAAAGGAGAGGAGAAAACUUCAAUUCCAACCUUGAUUCUUCCUUGUUUGAGUUAAAAUCUCAAAAACUAAACCGAUUAAACCUUCACCUUGGUACUAAGGAAGCUUGUUAUGGAGUUGUUUGGAGAGGAAAGCUUUUGUUCUUCACUUUCUUCAAGAGUUUUGGAAGGUAUAAGUCUAAAACUCCCUUUUAUCUUUCUUAAUCUAGCUAAAUAUGCUAUAGAAGCUUUUAAUCUUGGCAUCUGAUGGAUAAUUUUCUAGUUUUUGGUAGUGUAGUGAAAAUUUCAACUAGGGUUUAUAUUUUCAGCUUUGAUUAUUGAUGUUUAACUAGCAAAUGUGUUAUUGAGCUUGGAAAUGGAAUUUGUGAAGUGAUUAGUGGCAUGAUUGUUACUUUGUAGAGUUGAAAGUUCAAUUUCCAGCUUUGGCAAGUAAAUUCCAGCAUUUGGUGGCGAAUUUCAGUCAAUUCCAUAGAUUGCCGGUAGGUGUAGGAGAUGAACUAGAACCUGAUUUUUAUACCGUUGGAAACCUCUAUGAAUCUAGUUUUAAUUGCCGCUGACGGAGCUCAAUUUCGAUUUUUCUACACCAAGUUAUAGCCAUUGUACCAAAACUAUUCAGUUAUCCUGUUUUGGCUCCGACGGAAUUUAUAUGUCUCUGCUUUUGUCAAUUUCGACCCUAAUAAUGUUUGAACUGGGGUUUGAACUGGGGUUUGAUGUCAAUUUCGACCCUAAUAAUGUUUGAACUGGGGUUUGAUGUCAAUUUCAACCCUAAUAAUGUUUGAACUGGAGUUGAGGCCUAUGUCUUAGCUUCGAAAGCCAUCAAAUUUGCCUCGAUUCGAUGUACCUAACUACAGUUAUGACCAAAACACCGAAGGAUGACAAAUCUGCCACUUAUAAUUUCUUCUUUAAACUGGUUUCCACCUUUGAUAUCCAUGGUAAUAAGUUUAUUAUUUGGUUUGUUUGGUUGGUUUUGAGGCCUUGAAUAGAUGUAUGUUGUUGGUUAUUACUUGUGGUUAGAUUGGAGGUUUGUUGGCUUGUGAAUCCAAGUUGUACUUGGAUGGGAAAACUAAGAAAAUAGGGGAAAUUCUGCCCAAAUUUUCGCCCGAAGGAUAAGUGAGUGAACUUGAAACUUGAGCGAUGAUUUGAGAUCGAAAUGAACUUGGAUUGUCUAUGGUAUUCAAGUUUCCGUUAGUAGACGUAUAUAAGCUGAAAUUUUACCAAAACUCGUACUCUUUAAAAGGUGAAAGUAACGAUCAUUAGAAAGACAUUUUCCUCAUCUUUUAGACCAAGUUCCGAACUUAAACGUUUUAAUUGCUUCUUUAUCAAAACCAAAUGAGCGAGCAUGAAUUUUCUAGAGUGUGACAAGUGAAAUGAAUACUACUUUAACGAGUUUCAUUUAUUUGCUUUUUGUGAUGCCCCGAAAAAAAAAAUGAGUUUGAGAAUCCAGAAAUUUUCUAAUUUUCUAGGGUUCAUUUUUUUAACGCCCGCCUUUUCUACAUUUUCUUGAUUAGAAAAAUUCCCCAGAUAAAGUUUAUGAGCAAAAAUAGUUUUAAAAUGAAUUUUCUUGUAUCGGUUAGUUUUUGAGAAAUUAAGAGCGUAUUUGGAACGUGGGACCCGCAAGUGCGGUAAAUGCAUUAUAUUUUUGACAACUUGUUGGAAUUUUGUAUUAAGUGAUAUUAUUUUACAAGGUGUUAAGAUAUUUGUCUUGGAGAGACAAGAAGAUAAUCUCAAGCUUAAAGGGUGACAAGUGUCACCUUGUUAUUGAAGGUUGGACUUUGACAUUUGACUAUCUUACUACCUUUACCAAAUAAGUACCCAAAUUGAUCCAAAAUUACCUUCAUUCUUCAUCAUCUUGGCUGAGCUUUCAUUUCUUGCUCCAAUCAAACAAUUUAACGAUUAAACUUGGAUUUCCUCCAUAAAACCUCUUAGUUAGUGGUAUUAAGUUGGUUGUGAAGUUUGGAAGACCAAGGUGCUAAAUUGCUUCCUUUCUUGAGUUGGUAAGGUGAGUAGCUAAGGAACCUCUCUUUUCUUCUCAAUCAUGUUUAAUUAGUGGCUUAUGUGAGUUAAAGAGAUGGUUUGAUGAUUAUAUCUUGAUUUUGGUUGAAUUGGUGAAGUUUUAUAAUUAUUGGAGAUCUUUCUGUUUUAAUAUGAACAUGGUUGUGUAGUGAUAUAUGAUGAUUGGAAAUGAUGUUUAAAGACUCUAUGAGGUGGAAAAAGUGGUCAAUUGCAAUCAAUUUCAGUUUUGGAAGAAAUUUCAGAAAAUUAGGGUUCUUGAGGGAGCAUUCUGUCCGAAUUUUUAGCUCCUAGUUAGAGGCCGAAUUGGCCUUGGUUUAAAACAUGAAAGUUGUAGGGAAUGACAUUUUAGAGGUGCCUACAAAAUUUCAGGUCAAUCGGAGUAGUGUAGAAUGAGAAAAGUCGAAAUUACUAUUGCUGUCCUGGUUUUACCCGAAUGCUAGAAUUGCGCCUGUAAUUGGUUGUUUUGGCUGGAAUUGCUUCCGAAUUAGUUGUUGAGGCCUUCUGAUGAAAUUUAGCCCUAUUUCUUAGCUAUCAGUUGGUUUUGGAAUUUCUGGAUUUGGACUUGGAGAACCUGAGUUAUGAUGUUUCCGCUAGAAUGCGUUCUGUGAAGCUGUUUUUGUGAUUCUGGUGUAGUUUCUUGUGUUUUUGACCUGGUUACACUCGAAACUGGGUUGAGUGACCUUCUGUAAUAUUGUAACCCUAUCUCUUAGCUUUGAAACGGUGGGUCUUGCACCUUCAUCCGAUAAUCGUAGUGCCUUUGGUACCAUUACCGCAAAAUGACGUCAAAACCUGUUUUUCUGGUUUUGAGUUUAACUUUCAUUUCUAGACUUUUUCCUAGCUUGACUUGUACUAGUACUACUUGGAGUUUGCUGAAUGGCUAUUGGAUGAACCUGUUGUUGUGUGUGUACCUUUGGGUUGGAAUGAGGAAAUCAUGAAGCCAUGACGGCUGGAAAAGUAAGCAAAUUUAGGGGAAGUGCUGUCCGAACUUUUAAAGGAUUUGUUUGCAUUGAGUUUGUGAUCUAAGACUUGGGUUUGAGCAAGGCAAUGAUACAUGAUGGAUGAUUUCUGAGCCAUUGAGGUGAGUGACCUCAAACUAUUUCUAAAGUUAUUUAUGAACCGUUUUUUUUGCUUUAUUUACCUUUAAACUAUUUCCAAUGUUACUUUUGAACUGUUUUCUUGCAUAUCAUGCGUGCUUGCAUAUGAGUGUUCCUUGUUUGCUAUAUCACUUGAUUUAUUGGCUUGUUAUUAUUGAUUGAUAAUAUGUUAAGUGCUUUCAAUGAUUGUUAAAACGAGUUUUCUAGGCGAGUGUGUACUUUAUCGCACUCGAUCUAAAUAAAUAUGAAAUUUUCAAUGAUUAAUUAUUAAAUGCUAGUUGCGCAUGAAUGUAAGCCGUUUGGCUGAAUUGGGCCCUGCCCUUCGUUACCGAUCGACUCGAGCCAGAAGCGGACUCGGUCGGGCGAUAUGGUGACCCUGGGUGAAUUUGGUAUACUCGAGUAUUACCUUGUAGUCCGGCUACGUCCGGAUGGGUGGAGUCCGGCUACGUCCGGAUGGGUGGAAACCGGCCAACGUCCGGAAAAAAAAACGAUGAACAAAUAAAAGAUGAACGAGGGAUUAUUUAUAAAAAAAUGAACGUAUCCUUUUCAUGAAUGUUACUCUCGCUUUCCAUUGUACAUGUUUCUUGAAUUAUUGAUACUCCAUAUUUAAUGUUUUGUAAAUGCUGUAAUCGUUAUUGGACUUAUCAUUUGAUCUAUGACAUCAUUGAUUUAUGACAUCAUUGAAAAGAAAUAUUGGGUCUGUUUGGAUUGUAAGUUAUUUGGGAUUAUUUGAGAUAUUUUUACUGUAGCACUUUUUGUGAUGUGAUGUAUGUGAGAUAAAAAGAUAUUGGAAAGAUAAAAAGGUGUAUUGGAAAUUGUAAAGAUGAUGUAAGCAAAUAAAAUUGGGGAAAUAUGAAGCAAUCCAAACAAACCCAUUGUUAAAUCGAUUUGAUUACUGAUUUUCUGGUUACUCGCUGAGCUUUUAGCUCACCCCAAAAAUAUUUUAUUCCCCUCCACAGGGCUCAAGGCGAAGGCAGGACUUGUUGUGCUUAUUCACGUGAAUGGAUGGCCUAUAUCUUGUACAGUUUUGGAUUUGGAAUCAUUUGAUGUAUAGUUGGGAAUUAGUUUCCGCUGCAUUAGUGACAUGUAAUUAUUGGAGACUUGGAUGUAUAUUUGUGGAUCAUGUGAUGUAUAUUUGAGCUUUAUUCUUGUAAUUCAUUUGAGAACUUUAGUGAACGACUGAGUCCCGGCGAGAGCCGGGCAGGCGGCCCGCCGAACCCUCUGGUUCGCGUUAGGGGAAGGUGGGGCCGUCACACUUUUCGUUAAGCGAAACUCUUAUAUUUUGAACCCUACUUGCCUUCAAACUGUUAAACGGUAUUUUAUCGCUGAUUUGGACUCCAACCAGGGAGUUGAACAUGAGCGUGAUUUUGAAAAGCAAGUGUUUUCAAGUGCAUGAUUGAACUUGAUAUUUGAAAGAAAUUCUGGACUUGUUUGAAUGGGCAAGGGUGUACUUUAUCACACUUACUCUAAUGUGAUUUCUUUUUGUUUACUGGUUAUUAUUGACUUGAUAUACAUGUUUACAACUUGAAUACUACCUGAGAUCUUGUAUUUGACUUGUAAGUGUUGAGCGGUAGCAUGUACCACACUCAAUCCGAGUGGGAGGUGCCUCUCAUCCCGUCUCACUCCUUGGAUCCAGACCCUAUUGGUUAGUCAGUCGAAUCGAGCCAGUAAGAGAUUGGUCGAGGAAACUGGCGAAACAUAGGUACUACUGUCUAUUGUUUAUUGUAUAAUCCUUUGGAUUAGAUUCACUAGAUUCGAUAUACUCGACUAUUACCAUCACUCUUAUUUUGAAUUUCGGGUCCGGUAGGAGGUUGAUUGGUGGAUGGAAAUUGGUGUAAAGUAGAGAUCUACGGUCAUGGUUUAUUUCUUCAAAUGUUGACGGAGUGUUAACGGGUUCGGAUCAAAUAAUGCAACGGAAUUUUGGUUCUUGAGAGCCAUCUGUAUCUUACACUUUGAGAUGAUUAUUACUUGUAGUGUUAUUAUUUUUUUUUAAAAACUUUACACUCGCUUAUUUUGAGAUUUGCUACUUGAAGUAUUAUUGCUCACUUUUAUGAACUUUUAUACUUGCUACUUUGAUAUUGCAAGUUUUAUAUAAUGGUCAAUUUGCUAUUUGGAUUUGUCUGAAGUUUUGGAACCUCAUUGAGUUUUGACUCACUCUAUUAGAAUCUUUUGUUUUCCUUACAGGGGAUACGAGCGAGAGCGUGAAGCUGAUACAGGCUAGCAUAGUCUAUUUGUUUGAGAUUUUGGCAAUUGUACGCGCACUAGUGCUCGAUUAGGGUUGAAUGUAUUUGGAACUCAAAUCUUUUGUUAUAUUUGGGGAUUGUAUGAAUGAAUGAAUGUAAUUAUACGUUCUAAGAUUAGGAACUGUUGUUUCAUUUACUCUUGAGGUUGUAACUUAUUUUAUCAAAGUAAGUGAGUGAGUCCUGACGAGAGUUGGGCAGGCGGUUCGCUAAAUCCUAAGGUACGCCCUAGGGGGAGAUGGGGUCGUCACAGUGACAUUCAGGUAGGCAGUAUGAUAGAGAUUGAUGAGGUAGAGGAGCAGAAGCCAAAAAUGAUGAAACUUGGGGAGAUUCUACAAACACGACAAGGGGUGAUGGAGGCAAGCCUAGAAAAGCCUCCACAGUAUAAAUAAGAGUAGCGGCGUGGAACUGCCGAGAUGCUGGGAACCUCUUGGUAGUUCUCCAACUCAAGGAGGUUAUACGCCUCCACUCUCCAAAGUUAGUAUUUUUAUCAGAAACAAAAAAUCAAAAAAGAGUUCUGGAUGUUGUCAUGAAGCAAAUACGGUUUGAUAAUAAUGUAGUAGUAGAACCAGUAGGAAGAGCUGGUGGGCUAGCCAUGUUCUAGAAAAAUGAGGUCAAAGUUCUAAAGGUUGAUACCUCAGAAUGUUCAAUUGAAGUUAAAGUCUAUGAUGAGGAAGUAAGGGAAGAAUGGUGCUGUAUUGGAGUCUACACCAGUAUGAAUGAUACAACCAGAAGAGAUCAAUGGGAAUUUUUGGAAGAAUGAAUGAAGCUAUGGGGGGAUAAAUGGAUCUUGCUUGGGGAUUUCAAUGAUAUCAUAUCAAUUGAAGAAAAAUGAGGAGGAAGAACAGGACAUGAGGGUAGUUUUAGGUUUUUCAGAAAUUUUAUACUGAGAGCUAGCUUGAUAGACAUACAUUUUGAAGGCAAUCCAUGGACCUGGAGCAACUAAUGGGAGAAUGAGGGGAAAUUAGACAAAGGUUGGAUAGAUGCCUGAGUAGUGCAGGGUGGUUCCAGACUUUUGGGGAUGCAAUUUGCAAGCUUGUGGAAAAUGAAGCCUCUGAUCAUUCAAUGCUAGUGUUUAUUACUAUACCAGAUCAGAAGAAAAUGAGAAAGAGGUUUGUUUUUGACCAAAAUUGGGCUCAACACAAAGAGGUAGAAGAGGUAGUGAGGAAUGCUUGGGAAAAACCACAGAUGGGUUCAAGAAUGUUCAAAAUUAUUAGAAAAAUUAGAGUGCGCUAGAUAGCCCUUUUAAGUUGGAAUAGAAUGAAUAAACAAAAUGCAGCAACACAGAUCAUUGAGAUUAAGCAGAAGAUACAGGAGCUCAAAGAGUCUAAGGAUCAAUGGAAAAAAGGAAAAUGGUGGAACUGAAACUAAAGUUGAGCAGUGCUUACAAAGCUGAGGAAAUCUUCUGGGCACAAAAGGCAAGGAGCAGGUGGUUAAAGGAAGAGGACAAGAAUACAACCUACUUUCAUGCUUGUGUGAAGACAAGAAGGAAAAGAAAUAAGAUAACCAGCUUGUAGAAAGAAAAUGGAGAAUGGUGUACGGAUAACCAACAAAUCAUCGAGAAGAUUUGUAGGUACUAUGAAGACAUGUACACCACAUCUCAGCCAUAACAUAUGGAAGAAGUGCUAGAAGGGGUGCCUGUAUCAAUUACAAGCAGGCUAAAUCAGAAUUUGAUACAACCUGUGGAGGAAAAUGAGGUUAGAGCAGUUGUGUUCUCCAUGCACCCAAAUAAAGCACUUGGACCCGAUGGUAUGAUACCCUUUAUUCUUUCAAAGAUAUUGGCAUACUAUUAAAAUUGAUGUGGUGUCUGCUAUUCACUGCAUUUUGAGUAAUGGCCAUCUUUUGAAGAGUAUAAAUGAGACCGGUAUAACCCUCAUUCCUAAGGUAGAUAAUCCAAUAUCUCUGUCCAACUAUAGGCCAAUCAGUCUUUGUAAUGUGCUCUAUAGAAUCAUAGCAAAAAUUCUAGCCAAUAGAUUGAAAAGAGUUAUUGCCUUGUGCAUUAGCUAUUCUCAGUUAGCCUUUGGGCCUGGAAGACAGAUUGUGGAUAAUAUCAUUUUGGCCCAUGAAAUUAUGCAUUUUUUAAAAAGCAAAAGGAAGGGUAACACUUCUUUUAUGACCCUAAAACUUGACAUGUCAAAAGCUUAUGAUAGAGUGGAAUGAAAAAUUGUGGGCACAAUGAUGUUAAAAAUGGGUUUUUGUCCUAUUUUUGUAAGAUGGAUUAUGAGCUGCAUGUCAUCAGUGACCUGUUCGUUUAACUUGAAUGGGGAGAGGAUGGGGUAUGUGCAACCUAGUCGAGGUAUUACACAGAGGGACCCUUUAUCCCCUUUUCUCUUUUUGUUCUGUUAUGAAGGAUUGUCAAAUCUCAUGGCAAAGGCAAUUGAAAAUAGGCAGAUCACAGGACUCAAAAAAAGUAGAAAUGAACCUAUUCUAUUCCAUUUAUUCUUUGUAGAUGAUUCCUUAUUUUGCUGUAAAGCAUACCCACAGGAAGCUAGAGCCAUGCAAAGGAUUCUUACAAAGUACGAGUUAGUCUCAGGACAGUACAUCAACUAUAAGAAGUCUGCUGCUUUUUUUAGCAGAAAUUGUAGCAGACAACAAAGGAGACAGACUUGUGAGCAGAUGAACAACAUCAAAGAGGCAAAUAGUGGCAAAUACUUGGGACUUCCCCUAGUGAUAACAGGAUCAAAAAAGCAAGUCUUCACCUACAUUGUUGAUAAAGGAAGAUCCAAAAUGCAAGAAUGGAAACACAAUCUACUCAGCUAUGCAGGGAAAGAGGUACUUCUGAAGUCAGUCAUUAUGGCAUUACCCACUUACACAAUGUCAUACUACAGGUUACCUAAAGGACUGUGUGCAGAAAUAUGUGGCCAUAUGGCAAAAUUCUGGAGAGGCCAAAAUGAAGAGAAAAGAAAGAUGCAAUGGAUAAGUAAGGAGAAAAUCACACAGGUGAAAGGAAAUGGAGGCCUGGGAUUUAGAGAUCUAGAGCACUUUAAUAGUGCUUUGUUAGCAAAGCAACUGUGGAGACUAUUACUGUAGCCAGAGUUAUUAGUGAGUAAGGUGCUGGGAGCGAAAUACGAACUAUCGCAAAUAGACUAGGAAGGAGAAGCUUCAAGGAAUACAUCUUGGGUAUGGCGAAGUAUAUAUAGUUCUUGCUCGCUACUGCAAAAGGGAAUAUGAAAGAGAGUGGGAGAUGGGACUACUAUAAACAUUUGGAGGGACAAAUGGCUCAUGGGAUCAUCAACUGGGAAAAUAGCAACACAGAAACCUCCAGCGUGUAGACUACAAACAGUGGCUGAUUUGAUAAAAGAGAGAGAAUGGAAUAAGGAACUAAUUGAAGAGACUUUCUCAGAGGAGGAAGCUUCACAAAUCUUACAGAUGCCCCUAAGUUUGUUUCCCAGGAAGGAUAUGGUCUACUGGAAAUACUCAAAAUCAGGAACAUACACAGUGAAGUCUGGAUAUAUAGUAGAAAUGAAGGAGGUAAGCCAAAGGAGAAAGGAGAAUCAAAAUGAGGGAGAAACCAGCUAUGCACAACAUAAGCAAAAAGUGUGAAAAAGCUUGAGGGAGUUAAAGAUGAAGCCAAAGAUUAAACAUUUCAUAUGGAGAUGCUUACACAAUGACAUUCCUGUGAAUGAGAUGAUACACAAAAGAAUAGGAAAGGCUCUCUAUUAUGCAAAUGUUGUGGUGAAUGGGAGGAAACAGUGGAACAUAUGAUCUUUUUUUUGCAGCAAUGUUGAACCUAUAUGGAAACUAGCCCCAAUACAGUGGGAUGGAAUUGCUCGGCAGUAUGAAGCGAAGUAUAGAGAUCAUAUGUCCAUCUUGGACAAUGCAUAAAAUGAAUGGCUGGAAUUUCAAGAGGAGCAUUUGGACAAUGAUGAAAAGCACAAGACAUGAACAAGUUAUCAAAUGCAAAACCACCAAUGGAGGCCAGCAGAUGCAGGCAUAGUGAAGAUCAACACUAAUGCCAUUGUCUCUACUAAAGAAGCAAGAGUAGGGUUAGGAAUGAUAGCAAGAGACAGUUAUGGAAACCUUGUUGAAGCAAGAGGUAUCAGAAAGUAUAGCAGCUGCGGAGCUAAAAUAGAAGAGGCAGAGGCAAUCCGACAGGGACUGAUAAUGGUUAGCGAAGCUGGGUGGCAAAGAAUAGAGAUGCAAUCUGAUUGCAAAGCUGCCAUUGAGAAAAUCCAAAAGAGAGGCAUGGAGGAAGCGCCAAUAGUCACCAUACUGGAAGAUAUAAGACAAUUGAGUGACAUGUUCCAGUACUGUACUUUUUCUUUUGUUUAUAGAGAUGGAAAUAGAUAUGCUCAUAAAAUGGCACAAUUUGCAACUAAACUUGUUUCCAAUGUAAUAUGGAAACAAAGUUUCCCUCUGUGGCUCAAAGAGAGUAUACAGGAGGAUAAUAGGAUAAAUAUCCACUUUUGUAACUGAGAUCUUGUAUUAUCAAGUUCAAUAUAUAUACAAGAGAAUACCGUUUGAAAAAAAAAGAUAAAAGUACAACCGAAGAGGUUCCACAUCUUGAAUAAGAGGUAAAAAGGACUAUCCUGCCAGGCGGGCCUCUACGAAAGUGGAAACCAAGUGGCUGUAAGCUUAUUCACUUUCUAGAAAGAAAGACAUGGUACUCUGUACUAGGUAAUCUAGCAAAAAAAAAAAAACUAUGGUUUAAGCAUAUCUGUUGGUUUCAGUGUCUACAAUUUCAAUUUCUUUGGGAUCUGUAGCCAUUUCCCGUAUUAGCUACCUUUUGACUUCUUUCAAUGGUGCAUUACUGCAAGAAAUUCAAUGUUCCAUUUGAGGCCAUAGCAAAGAAAUGGGAAACCAUCCUACUGGAGGAUCAAAAGAUUUACAGAAGUGAAACAAUUGUAGUUAAUUGCUUGUGCAGGCUAAGACAUGUUCCCAACGAGACAACAGAAGACAGCACUGCGAGAGACGAUGUUCUGACGUUGAUCAUGGAGAUAAAUCCUAUUUUUUUGUCCAUGGAGUCAUUAGUGGGACAUAGAUUGCCCCAUUUUUCAUCACCCGCUUCCAAAAAGCGCUGCAUCAUUUCUCUCUCUGUUUGACAUGUUUGAGAAAACUUUAGCACAUAUUGAUCAAGGCAGAAUAAUGUUUAAGAAAGAAGUUCUUGGAAGGGAUGCCAUGAAUGUUGUAGCAUGUGAUGUAGGAGUGGCAAUUUCUAAUACGACAUGAAUUUAACAUGAAAUUAAUGGGGUUUACAUUGAGCCUUGGUAGGUUCGGAUAGAAAUUGGGUCAGACCCAUUAGACCUGAAAAAAAUCAGGUAGAGUCAAAGUCAAUCACGGGAUGAUCUGGUUAAUCCGUUUAUGAAUUAAAAAUAAUUUAAUAAAUACAAAAUAUUUUAUCUAACUUAUUAACUAUUUUCUAUUUUUCUUGAACAAAUCCUGAAAUAUCCUUAUACCCUAAACUUUAAUUUGAUCGUUUUCACUUUUCAAUUUUCAUAACUUUACUCUUUGUCUUCACUUGGCGCCGCAUUUCACGACUCACUACUCACUAGCAGAGCUGAUCAGCAAGGUAGAACUUUGAAACCCCCGAGCAAGGGUGAUUAUUCUAAUCCUUUUCCGAGCUUAACUUCUGCCUUUUGAUUUCUAAACUUGUGUUGUGUGGCUUCUCUUUGAAGUCUAAAUGACCGGCGAUGGGUCCUCCUACUCUUUCUUAAGUGUCAACAUUGAUGGACUCUAGAAGAAUUCAAAUUUUAGAUUGAUUAUCGAAGAAGCUUAAAUAUUUAUGUGCUUCUCAUCUUUUUUUUUUUUCAGUGAUGUUGGAGUCCCAUAGAUGAAUUGAUGAAGUCAUAGCAGGCAUAUUUGUAUUCUAAUGGCUUAAGCUAAACAUUCUUGAUUUGCUUCACCUCAUGCAUUUUUUUGAAAAUCAUAUAAAAUUGGAAUGGAAAUUUGUUUUAUUUUGAUUUUUGCUAGAGAUUUUGAAGAGGCUUUUUGGAAUCAUAAAUAUCCCGUAAUUCAUGAUUGGUUAUAAACAUACAAUGUCAUUCAAUAUUUGCCUUCUUAAUUUGUUGGGCUAUACACAACCUUGUUUGAUUAAGAUUUGUAGAGAUGGAUUUGCUACUGAAGUCAAAAGUUAGAGAAUCAAAUGAUGCCACUAUCUCAAUGUCUCAAUGUUUAGUGGUUGUCUACCUACCCAAAGUGAGUAGUCUGAUUAUUGUGGUUGCAAGCAUUACUCACAGGCUAUUAAGCUAUCAAAUUAUUUGUGAAUGCAUCAUCUUUCAAAUUUUUUGUUUGUAUUAAGAGAAAAUUUAACCUGAAUUGACAAUGACAUGUAUAUUUAUUUAUUGGUUAACAGAUGAAUGAAAGUAAUCCAAAUGCAAAUCUAGUUGAGGUUGAUGAUGAUAGUGGUAGUGACAAUAGCAUUGAAGAGACAAUGGAAAUGAAUCAGUUUCAAUGUCCAGGCCCUACUUUCAAAAGGAACAAAAAGGAGAAAGCUAACUUCUAAAGUUGGGGAUUACUUUACCAUCUUGGCUCCAAAACCGAAUGAGGAAUUGAAGUGCGAAUGCAACAAAUGUAAGCACAUCUAUUCUACAUAGAGUAAAAAUGGGACAAGUAACCUUAUUUGACAAAUAAAAAAAUGUCAGAAAAUGACAACUAAAGAUAUCGGUCAAUAUCUUCUUACUGCUAAUCAAGGUGCUUUGUCCACAAGAAAUUCUAGUUUAGUCAAGAGAAAUUUGAAGAUUAAUGAUGCAUGAAAUCAUCAGACAUGAGUUGCCAUUUUCAUUUGUUAAAUAUGAGGGAAUUAGAAAUGUUUGUUUCAAGUUAAACAUGUUACUAGGAACACUGCAAAGGUAGAUAUAAAAAAGUUUCAUGCUAAAGAAAUUGAUAGGCUUUGGGCUGAAUUAUAGUUAUGUCCUAGUUGAAUUUCUUUGACUUUUAAUACAUGAAACUCCAUAGUUAUUGAUGGGUACUUGAGUUUGAUAGUACACUUUGUUGAUAAUAUUUGGGUGCCGCAAAAAAAAAUCUGAUUUUUUUCUUAUGAGCCUCCUCCUUAGAGUGGAGUUGCUCUAGUAGAAAAAAUUUAUAGUUUGGCUAGUGAUUGGCGCAUUGAAAAGAAAUUGUUCACCAUCGCUUUGGAUAAUGCUUUUGCAAAUGAUUCUUGUGUUCAAAUACUUAAGAAUCAGUUUAGGUUGAAAGGUGCUUUGAUGGAUGAUGGCAUUUUAUUUCAUGUGAGGUGUUGUGCUCAUAGUCUAAAUCUAAUUGUGCAAGAUGGUUUGAAAGAAAUUCAUGUCUCAAUGGAUAGAAUAAGGGAAUGUGUAAAAUAUGUGAAGAGCUCUCAAGUGAGAAAAGUAGAGUUUACUAAAUAUAUAGCACAAACAUCCCUUGAUUCUAAAAAAGCCUUAGUUCAAAAUGUCCAACUACAUGGAGUUCCACUUUUAAGAUAUUCUCAAGUGUCUUUAUUAUUAUCUUGCCUUUUGUCGCUUGCAAUUAAGUGAUUCCAAUUUUCGAUGUUGUCCAUCUUUAGAAGAGUGGGAAAGAGUUGAAAAGAUUUACAAUUUUUUAGAAAUUUUUUAUGAUGCAACUAUUGCCUUCUCAGGAUCUAAGCAUCCAACUGCUAACUUGUACUUUCCUCAAAUUUUUCUGAAUCAAUUAAAGUUGUUUGAGGAGUGUAGCAAUUCUAAUGGCUUUAGAUGUUUGUGAAAUUCAACAAAUAUUAAUUUGAGUUCAAUAUUUUGUUAGCUAUUGCUAUGGUAUUUGAUCCUAGAUACAAAUUUCAGCUUCUUGUGUUUAGCCAUCAAAAGUUAUAUGGUUAGGGAUACACUUUGUAGUCUUUUCAAUGAAUAAGUUAGAGCUAGUAAGACAAUUCAGCCAUCAUCUUCCUAUUCUUGGGGUAGCAAUGAGAUGAAUGAGAUCUCUUUUGAUGUAGCAGAAGCAUAAGAAAAAAAAAUUAGUGAAUGUUUUCAAGGUGUGAUGAUAAUAUUUUUUAGUAUUAUUGAUUAUUAGUUUAUAUACUCCCAUGUAGUUUUAAAAAUGUUAUGUUCUCAUUUUGAUGUCUGUUAUAUCUCUCUUUCAAUGUCAUGAUCAUAGGAAUUUGAUGAAUUUGAUAGUUUUGAAUUUACCAGUGGUGCACAAAAAACUCAAUUAGAAUGUUUCUAGAUGAGACAAGAAGUAAAAGAAAAUCUGAGAUUCAUGUUCUUGACUAUUGGAAGGCUCAACAAUAUCAAUUUCCAGAUCUAGCAAAAUUAGCUAGAGAUAUCUUAUGUGUUCUUGUAUCAACUAUUGUAUCAGAAUCUGCUUUUAGCCUUGGUGGUAGGAAUCCAGACCAAUUUCAUAGUUCAUUGUCACCACUAAUUGUUGAAGCUUUAGUAUGCACCAAAGAUUGGUUGUUUGGGGACAAAUGUAUAAUUAGUAAAUUAAUGCUUCCUAAUAUCUACUUUGUUUCUUUAGUAUUUUAUACUUAUUUUAUUUUUUUCAUCUUAUUUAUAUAGAGAUGAUAGAUUUGAGGCUAGAGGACAUAACUCAAGACAUCAUGUCUUUACAUAUAUCAAAAGAUGAUGCACAAUUUGUUGAAAAUCAAACUCUAAUGUGGUCAACCUCUAUGUCAUUGAGCUGGUGAGUUAAAAGUUAUAACAUAAUAUGUUUUAUUGCACCUAUAUGUAACAACAUUAAUACUUUGAUAUCUGUACCUAUUGCAAGUUGCUUAAAAAAGUGCUUGCAUCCCUUGAUUUAGUAAAGGUUGGAAGUUGGAAGAGGAAUAUCAAUUUGACUGCUUGAGCUUGGAACCUUGGACCAGUUAUUCUAUUUUAGUUUCAUGUUUAUUUUGUUGCUAUUUAGUGUUUAUGGCUUGUAGCCAUUUGGAUUUGAUGAUGAUAUUAGGAGUUGGGACUUGUGCUUAUCAGCUUAUGUUAUGUCUUUUAUGGCUUGUAGUCAUUUGGAUUUGGAUUACAUUUGGUGAAUGCCUUUUGCGUAUGAUUGCUUGGAAUGGAUUUCUGAUUUCCAUUGGGCAAUUGACAUUGCAGAUUAUUAUAGGUAAUUAAACUGAUUUGUAGUUAUAUGCUUCUAUUUUAGGUGAUCAAUUAAUCAUUAAUAAGGUAGGUUGAAACAGGUCAGGUUUACGUGACCCCCAAAAAUUGCGAUUUGUGUUCAAGACAAGGAACCUGACCUGAUAAAAUAAAUGGGUUUGUUCGGUUGACGACUUUUCUAAAAUACCUGUGUCUUAACCUAACCCACCAACCCGUGAUUCGACCUGAUUACUACCCUUGUGAAGGUAUUGAAAGGAUUGAAAGGCCAGAAACAUACAAGUUGUUCAUGCUUAUUUUAGUGGCCAGUGAACCAAUGCUAAUGUCGUGAUUGUUGUGACCAUGCCACCUAGUUAACACCACAAAAAUGAUAGAAAUGAAUUGAUAUCGGUAAAAAAGAGUGCUUACCGAUAUUCUAUAACAUCUAGACCAAAGUUACCUGUUCUACCUUGAACAACCUCGAGAACGUAAAAUCUAUGACAAAGUAAUCGAUCAAAGAAGAAAUGAGAGGAAAGGCUAAUUUGUAACUGAAAGCUAACAAAUUUCUUAAUAUGAAAUCAACAACUACUUGGAAUGAUACAGAGUGCAUAAGAAUUAUAUAGAUUGCUUGAGAAUAAGAAACUUGCUUGGAAUUCAAAGGAAACUGCUUUGGAAUUCAAUUAUAAAGAAAUUUAUAGAACCUGAUCUUGAUUGAAAGCAUGAAAAUGAUGAGUUGGUAGAAAAGGAAAUGUUUGUAAGAAAAUUGGAAAUCCUAUCUCUAGCCUAAAAACUUCUAAGAAAGCUUGCUAAAAAAAAGAGCAUUUUUCUAAAGAUAUUGUCUUUGAUUUGGAUGUUGUUGGAGAAGUCCUCAAUCCAGUCUCUCUUCUAAUAUUUGUAGUAUUAACGAUCACUUUGCCAUCUACUGACAAACUCACUUCUACUUUUAACACCUUACUAUCAAGUGCAACUACCUAUCAUGUCAACUCUAUCAGGCUGAUCAUGAGUAACGAUAAUUGCCCACUCCAAUGUAUUUAGGAUAAUGUAACUGUAAUAUCCCUACUUUGUAGGGCCAAUAUCUAAUCCUCAUAUCUUUCUUCGCCAACCGCUGUCAUUGACCCUAUCUCUCAUCGACACUUGAUCAAUCUCUUAUGACUUGGUCAAACUUUCAAAAAGGAAGAGCUAAUGUAAAGAAGAGAUUAGAUAGGGCAACAUGUAAUGAAUGAUGGAGGAUUAACUUCCCUGAAACUUGUAUUCACCACCUUCCAUGCACCCACUUUGACCACCACCCAGUGUGGGUAACUCUAAUAGGGGUAAUAGUGGGGAAAGGCCAAGGCAAUUCCACCUAGAUAUGGCAUGGACUACUCAUCUUACCUUUUAAAAUAUGAUUAAGUCCGUAUGGAAGUCAGAUAAGAAGAUGUGGGAUAAUAUAUCUAACUUCUAGGAAAAAGCUCAACACUAGAGCAUAGAGGUUUUUGGGAACAUAUUUCAAAGGAAGAGGAGAUGCUUAGCAAGGAUUGAAGGCAUCCAAAAGUCACUAGCACUAAAACAUAACCCUUACUUGGAGAAACUAGAGAUGGAUCAUGUUAAGUAGUAUAACUAGAUUCUGGAACAAGAAGAACUUUUGUGUUUUCAAAAUCAAGAGUGAAUUGGCUGAACUGGUGAGAGAAAUACAUGUUACUUCCAGACCUCAAAGUGAUAAGAAGAUGGAGAAAACAUGUGGAUUGUCUGAAGGAUGAUCAAGUGAAGUGGCAAGAAGUCUAGAAAAGCACUUAAAGCCAUGGUGGUGAAAUUUUAUAAAGACUUGUUUUGUAUGGAAUGAGAUACCAUGAAUGAUUUUAGUUGCUCAGUCAAAUUUCCAAGAGCAGAGGAAAGAGAUUUGAGAUCAGUGAUUAGACAAGUAUGUUUAAAAGAAGUUAAACAAGCCUUGUUAGUGCCUUCAUAUUCCAAAAGGGAUUGGAGAUCGUUAAGGAAAGCCUUGUAAAAUUUGUCAAAGAUGCUUUCUUCUAAAAGGCAGUGCCAUCCCAAGUUAAUGACACCAUCAUAUCCCUUAUUCCCAAAGUUGAGAACCUAGAGAGGGUGACCCAAUUUUGACCUAUUUCCCUAUAUAACAUUUCAUAUAAAGCGAUCACUAAAAUUUUAGUCCAGAGGAUCAGGUUGCUAAUGACUAAAAUAGUUGGCCAGAAUAAUGUAGGUUCAUCCCAGGACGAUAGUCCUUAGAUAAUGUGAUAAUCCUACAGGAGAUAGUCCACUCGGCUAAGAGGAAGGAGAAAAAGGAGUGAUGAUCAUCAAAGUGGAUUUAGAGAAAGCAUAUGACUGGAUAAGCUAGAAAUUCUUUCAUAACAUACUAGAAAAGUUUGGUUUUUCAAAUGAGACAGUGAAACUAAUUAUGAGUUGUGUGUAGGGAAAUAGAGCAAUCACUCCCAGAAGAGGACUCAGAUAAGGAGAUCCUCUUUUAUUAUCCUGUGCAUGGAGAGGCUGAGUCACCUGAUAACCGAAGCAGUUCACCAAGAGAAAUGGAAACUUGUGAGGACAACAAGAAUUUCUCAUCUUAUGUGCUAAUGACUUGAUUCUUUUUGCCGAAGCAUCAAAGGAACAAGCAACGGUAAUUAGGAAGGUGCUAGAAAACUUCUGUGCAAUCUCAGGCCAAAAAGUCAACAUGGUAAAAUCCAAAAUAUUCUGCUCAGGAAAUACUCCCAGAGAGUUGGCUAGGAGAAUAAGUAAAAUGACAAAAGUUUCCUUAACAACUAAUCUAGGUGUGCUAGCCUUACACGAGAAAGAAACUCAGGCCACUUACAUAGAGAUGCUGGACAAAAUUCAUGCAGGGUUAGCGGGGUUGAAGAGAAAUUGUCUUGCCUAUAUGGCUAGAGUCACUCUUAUUAAGUCGGCAUUAGCUGUUAUCCCAAAUUAUAUGAUGCCGACUGUUAAAUUACCAAACCUAUUGGUUGAAAAAAUGGAGAAAUUUUCAAGGGGAUUCCCCUGGGGUGAUUCCAAGGAUGGUAGGAAACUUUGGCUAUUUGGAUUGGGAUAAAGUUGCAUAGCCCAGGGUAUUUGGAGGUCUAGGAAAAAGAAGAAUUAAAGCGGAAAAUAAAGCUUCACUUGCCAAGCUGAGCUAGGGAUAUCACAGGAACAAAAAUGAAUUAUGGAUAAGGGUGCUAUAGUCAAAGUACAAAAGUAGAAUAGAAGAUAUUUUAUUACCGAAGAAGGUAGAGAAAUCCCAAGUUUGGAGGGGUAUUAGAUUCGGGAGCGAAUUAGUAGCUUCAGGGGCAAAAUGGACACUAGAGAAUGGACAAAUCAUUAGCUUCUAGAUAGAUAAAUGGGUAGGAGAUAGCAAUUUGGAGGAGGAAGUUGUUGUUGAAAUACCCAAAGAGGAAAGAAAGAAAAAGGCGGUGGAGUAUUGGGAGGAAGUGAGAGGAUGGAAAUUCAAUAUUAUCUCCAAAUUUCUGCCAACCGAGACUAUAUUAAAGUUGUUAUCUAUUAGGGUUGAUGAGAAAGGGAAUAACAUGGAUAUAGUAAGCUGGGGAAAAGAAAAUAAUGGAGCUUUCACCACGACAUCGACAUAUGAUUAUGGACGAAAAUGAAGACAGAAACUAGAAUAAACUGUGGAAGCUCAAGGGACCUAGAAGAUGGAAAUUCCUACUUUGGCUUGUAAGGCAUGAGAGGCUCAUCACCAAUGGCAAAAAGUAUAGAAGACACCUCCACCCCUUUGGUAGGUGUCCAGUUUGCAAAAUCAGCAUUUAAGUCCACUUUGCAUAUGCUUCGGAACUGUAGCUGGGCAAACAAGAUUUGGGAUCAGCUGGUGGAUAAAAGACAUUGGUUACAAUUUAAUGAGUUAAAUCUACUAAAAUAGGUGGACUGGAACAUCAAAGAAAUGGAGAUUGGGAGGAAUAAGGAAAUGAGUUGGUAGCUGACUUUCCAAUAGGUGGUGUACCAUAUAUGGUUUGGAAGAAAUGAGGUGAACAUCAAAGGGAAGGAGAAGUGAAUUAAAAUGCCAACAGUGCAUCUAUUGGCCCAAAUUCAAGGAACGCAAGAAGUGCUGCUGAUUGACCUAGAAAUUAAGAAUGGAAUUGAGGUGCAUUAAUUGGGUGAAACCACUACCCAAGUGGAUAAAAGUCAAUAUGGAUGAAACAACUGAAUGGAACUUGGGCAUAGCAGGAGCAGGUGAACUUAUCAAAGACAAGUCUUGAAAAUGGAAGCAAGGAUUUUGUAUAAACCUGAGAAAUGCCACAAAUGUGAAUGUCGAGUUAUGGGAUAUGUUAAUUGGGUUGGAAAAAGCAUGAGAAGCAGCCUAUUGGAAAUUGUUCCUUGAAUCAAAUUCUCUAACAAGCUUCUUACUAGUAAGAGAUGGAAACAAUAAUAGUCCUCACUUCAAUCUUAUCAAAGCAGAUAAAAAACUGGAGGGAUAAGCAUUGGAAGUGUAAGAUCCAACAUGUUUGGAGGGAAGGAAAUACAUGUGUGGAUAGCUUGGCCAAACUCAACUUGAAAAGCAUCCCAGGAAUGCAAAAUUAUGAGGAAACUGCAGAAAUAGUUAGGAGACUUUUGAUUAAUGAUGUAGCCAGGGUAGUAACCCCCCAUUUAGUUCCCGUGUAAAGGGCUUGUGGUCUUCCACAUAACCAAAAAAAAAAAAAAAAAUUCCACUACCACAUCAGCCUAUUUCAUAUUAGUGGUUACAUACAUGAGUGGACAUGUAUUGACGCACCUUUGCAUAAGUUCAGUCAUCACUGCCAAUUUUUAGUGUAUCCUUUACUAAUUGGCCCUGUUCUAAUGCCACUACUGAUAAAACACUUGGUUGCCAAUUUAUAAAGACUAGCUACUUAUUGCACCAUCCAAUGACCUUUGUCUAUUGCAAUUGAUACUCUCUUCAAUAUAAAGCCAAUUGUUCAAUUACCGAUGAUUUGUACAUAUUACACCAAUACAAGUAAUGGCAAGCUAGGAUGUAGAGGGCUGGUUUUUCUUAGCUCCCACUGAACCAAGAUAUUUUGAGAGAAGUAAGGGCCAAGGUGAGGUUGCAAUACCAUAAAUAUUUUCUAAUUGAUAAAGAUUGCAACUAGAUACUACAAGGUUGGAAGGGAUUUUACUAUGACAUUGCUCUCCUUGCAAAAAUCAUCAAGUACCCAUAUAUGGUGUUUGUGUUAUUGAAAUCACCUGUCAUGUCUGCAUCGGUGUACCCAACUAGCAUGCUCUCUUACCAAUGUCGAAACAUAAACACAAUUUAAAAGUUCUCUUGAGAUACCUGAGAAUCCACUUGAUAGCAUUCCAAUGCUCCUUACAAUGAUUGGAAAAAUAUCGAUUGACUUCUCCAACUACAUGAGUAAUAUCUGAUUUGAUGUAAAUCAUAGCAUAUAUCAAAUUGCCAAUAGCCGACUCAUAAGGGACCUUUUUCAUCUCUUUCUUGUAUUUCUCAUUUGUAGGACACUGCUUAAUAUAUAGUUUAAAGUUACUAGCAAGUAGAGUAGAGAAUUUCUUAGCUUUACUCUAAAUCUAUCAAGUACCUUUUCAAUCUACUUAUCCUGAAACAACCAAAGCUUUCCAUUUUGCCUAUUCCGAGAGAUUUUCAUCCUAAGAAUCUAUCUAGUUGGACUCAAAUCUUUCAUUGCAAAUGUAAUGACCCCAUAUCCCCCUAGGGCAUACCCCAGGAUUUAGCAGACCCCCUGCUAGUUCUUGCUAGGACUCACUCACUCAUUUCAAAUAAAAUAGUUUACAACCUCAAGAGUAAAUGAAAUAAUAGUUCCCAAGUAUAACAAAAGAUUUGAGUUCCAGAUAUAUUCAACUCUAAUCGAGCACUAGUGCGCGUACAAUUGUCAAAAAUUCAAAAACUAGCUAGUUUGUACCGGCUCACACUGUUGCUCGUACCCCCUGUAAGGAAAAUAAAUUUAAUGAAAUAGAGUGAGUUAAAGGUCAGUGAGGUCCCAAAUACCAAGUUGACUAUUAUUUAAAAGUGCAAGUAUCAAAGUAGCAAAGUAGCAAGCAUAACAAGUUAAGAAUUGAACCCAAGUAGCGAGUUGACCAUAUGUAAAAUGUGAACUCUUAAAAUGAGCAAGUGUAAAAGUUCUUAAAAGAAAUAAUAACACGACAAGUAAUAAUCAUUUCAAAGUAUAAGGAUACGGAUGGCUCUCAAGAGCCAAAUUCCCAUUGCUUCACCAGAGCUUGAUCAAGUAGUAGUUGACACUCCGUCAACUUUCAAGUAAAAUAACUAAUCCAGUAAAGCACCACUUAACUACUAUCUCCGUCCUCCAUUCAAACCCCCUACCAGGCCCAAAAUUCUCAAUAAACAUGAGUGGUAAUACUCUGGCAUACCGAUUAGUUGAGGAGAUAAUACUCCACACAACAAAACAAGAGACCCAGGAUUCGUUACCCAAUAAACCAAGCCCUUACCGGUUCGACUCGAGUAACUAGCCACAAGGUUUCUGGAAUUCCAGGGAGUGCGCGUAUCAUACAGAAGUAUCUCAAAUCAAUUGCAACAAAUAAACAAGCAUAUAUCACAUUAAAGCAAGUGCGAUAAAGUACACUCUUGCCCGACCAAACCAAUCAAAUAUCAAGUAUUUAAAUCAAGUAUCAAGUUCAAUCAUGCAUUUGGAAGCACUCACCAAAGACUUAGUGCUUGUCAAAAUCACGCUCAGGUACAACUCCUUAGUUGGAGUCCAAAGCUACGAUAAAAUAUCAUUUACAAGUUUAAAAUCCACUAGGGUUCGAAACAUAAGAGUUUCAUUUCAAGAAAAUCAAGUAAAUGAAACUUGUUUAAGUAGUAGUCAUAUGACUUAUCAAACUUGAGAAAAUUCAUGCUCGCUUUUUUAGUUUCGAUAAAAAAGUGAUUCAUACUUUUGAAGUCGCACUUGGUAUAAAAGAUCGAGAAAAUCGUAUUUUCAAGGGUCACUACUUUUAUUUUUUUUCAAGGGCAUGAGUUUCGGCAAAAUUUCAGGUUAUAUACCUCUACUAAAGAAAACUCGAAUACCUUAGACGAUCCAAGUUCAAUUCGACCUCAAAUCCUCAAGCAAGUUGCGAGUACAUACGCCUAACCCUCGAGUGAUAAUUUGGGCAGCGUGCCCUUUGUAUUUAGCUAUUUUCCAACCACUUAGGGCUUCAUUUCUUUCCCCAACUCAGCCCAAAUUCAACAUAUAAGCAAUCUUAACAAGAUAGCUCUUCAAUUAAGCUUAAUAUCAUUCAAAGACAAGUCAAUUCUAACAAUGAAACCAUCAAGAUCAAAGCUGGAAACCAGUUUUAAAGAAGAAAUUAUAAAUGGCAAAUUUGUCAUCCUUCGGUGUUUUGGUCAUAAUUGCAGCUAGGUAUAUCGGAUCGAGGUAAAUUUUAUGAAGUUUCGAAGCUAAGAGAUAGAUCUAAAUUUAUUAUGGAGACCUCCAAAGCCAAAUCAUGCCUUUUCAUGGUAAAAAAUUGAAAUCUCAGAGAAAAUAGAAAGCUGUCGGUUAAAUAGGACAUUUGGGCAGUCAAGGGUAUUUUAUUCAUUUUAUAAGAUACAGUACUCUGAUUAAGUUGAAAUUUUGUGAGUAGAAAGAUAACUCAAAUACCUACAAUUUUCAUGUUUUUGAGUAAGAACUGAUUUGGCCUUUAUCAUAGAAGAAUAUGCAGUUCAAGUUGAUUUCAAAAAUAGGGCAGAACCUAUCAAAUGCUGGAAAUGCAACUUUUAACUCUACAAAGUCACAAUCAAGCCCGUAAUCACUUCACAAGUUCCAUUUCCUAGCUUAAUAGCACCAUUUGAUAGUUAAACAACAUAAUCAUGGCUAGAAAAUAUAAAACUCUAGCUGAAAUUUUCACUACACAACUCAAAACUAAAAAAUCAUCCAUCAUAUGCCAAGAUUAAAAGCUUUUAUAGCAUAUUUAGUAAGAUUAAGAAAGAUAGAGGCAGUGGAUCAUCUUAUACCUUCCAAUACUUGUUGCUAAGUGAAGAACCAAGCUAUUUCUUCCAAAAUUUUCACCACACCAAGCUUCCUAAGCUACUUAAGCACCAAAAUGAAGGUUUAAUUGAUUUAGUUUUUUGGUUUCAACUCAAACAAGCAAGAUCCAGGUGGAAAUGAAAAGUUUCUCCUCUCUUGUUUUUCUCUCCAAGAAUUUUGACCAACAUGAAGGAAAAUGAAGAAAAAUGAGCCAAAAGGAAAGAUAAGAAAAAAGGAAAAUGUCUUGGUCAAACUUCCAUGGAUUUCCAACACUUGUCAUUUUAAGAUCUUUUCUUUGUUUUUGUUUCUUUUCUUCCUUUUCUUUAGUCAAUAAUGGUGGCUGACUUAAGGGUUAAUUUAGGGAAGAUUAGGUGAAAUAAAAGCAAGGAGAUUAUGGUAAGAAAGUAGUGGUCAAGUGGUGUACUUAAUCGAUAGCAAACGGUACAUGUCGGUUCAAUCCUAUUUUCCUUAAUUCUCUUGUACUUGUGUUUUAACUUAUGAUUCACUAACUUAUUAUUAGCAUUUCUAAUCACACACUUCCUCUUAUGUAAUACUCACUUUUAUCUACCAAAUUUAGUACACAUAUCUCACCAAGUGAUCAUACGGCCAAAAUGCACAAAAACCCUAAUUUACGCUAACUAUAAAAGUAAAGGUAAACUCUCGAUUCCAGCAUAUAUUACACCUAUCGAGAGAGUAAAAUUUAUAGAAAAAGGAAUUUAUAAAUUAAAUUAUUUAAAAUAAGAGGGAAUUACAACAAAAAUAUAGGUGAAUUUUUAAGUCGUCACAGCUAAGGGUUUACUUAAUUCCUUUUUUAACCUAUGAAUCUUCAUAGCAUCAUGGCUAACAAUCAACAUGUCAUCAAUAUACAGUAAGAGAAUAAUAAAAUCACUAUUAGAAAAAUUCUUGAUGAAGACAUAAUGAUCAGAUGUAAUCAUGUGGUACUCGUGAUCCAUCAUGAAUGAGUCAAACUUCUUGUAUCACUGCCUUUGCACUUGUUUCAAUUCAUACAAAUUCUUUCUUAGAAGACAUACAAGGUUCUCUUUGCCACUUUCUUUGAACCCCCCUAGUUGCUCAAUAUAAAUUUCUUUUUCCAAAUCACCAUAUAAGAGCCUGUCUUCACGUCAAAUUGCUCAAUCUUCAAAUUCAAGUUGGCUGCAAUACCAACAACAACUUGGAUUCAUGACAUCUUUACCAUAUGAGAGAAAAUUUUUUCAAAAUCUAUACCUUUCUUCCGAUUGAACCCUUUCACAACCAAUCUUGCCUGUGAGCUAUGCUAUUAAGUUUUCAACCUGUAAACCUAUUUAUUUUUCAAUGCUCUCUUGCCCUUAGGCAGUUUCACCAGAUCAUAGGUGUAAUUCUUAUGUAAGAAUAUCAACUUCUUUUGCAUAUCUUGUAACCGGUCUUUUUUUCUCUCAUGCAUAUCUUGUAACCAGUCUCAUUGUAGAAUUUUGGUUCCCCUCCAUCUGUCAGAAACACAUAUUCAUUAAGAUUAUAUUUAUUAGAAGGUCUUCUCUCUCUAAUAGAUCUCCUAGACACAUCUUGUGGUGGUGAUGGAGCUAGUGGUGUCUCUUGUUCAAAUUCAUCAAUAGCAGUAUUAUUACUAUCAAUAGCCUCUCUCUGUUCUAUCUCAACUCCCCCAUGAUUUGAAUCAACUGGUAUUGGAAUUGGAUUUGGAUCUGAAUUAAUAGGAAUGUCAUUUGAGAAUCUUAGUUUGUCAUCUUUAUCAAUGUCUCAAUGGUUUGAUUUUUAAGGAAGACAACAUCUCUGUUUCUGAUCAUGUUCUUUUUGAUAGAAUCAUACAGUCUAUAGCCAAAAUCUUCAUGCUCAUUGCCUAUGAAAAUACACUACUUUGAUUUCACAUCAAGUUUUGACCUUUCAUUUUUGAAAAUAUGAACAAAUAUCUGGCAACCAAAAACUCUCAAAUGUUUAAAGGACACAUUUUUCCCUGUCCAUACUUUCUCUAGGAUAUCACCAUCUAAAAGAACUAAUAGAGAGAUUAAUCAAAUCAAAUACAGUCCUCAUUGCUACAGCCCAAAAGGAUUUUGGUAGUUUAGCGUUGGAGAGUAUAUAUCUGACUUACUUAGUAAUGGAUCCAUUCAUUUUCUCUACACCUCUAUUCUCUUGAGGAGUUUUUGACACUAUUUUUUCUAGUCUAAUUCCAUGGGACUUGCAGUAGCUUUCAAAUGGUCUCUUAUACUCACCACCAUUGUUACCACAAACACACUUUAACUGUUUGCCAAUCUCCCUCUCAACUUUGCAAUAAAAAUCUUUAAACACAUCCAAAACCCAAUCUUUGAAUUUCAAAACAAAACAUCAAACUUUUUUAACAAAGUUAUCAAUAAAAAUAAUAAAAUAAAUAGCACACCAAGAGACCUAUCUUUCGUAUAGUAAACAUCAGUAUGCACCAACUCUAAUGGAUUUAAUUUUCUAGAUAAAAAAAAUUUAAAAUGCAACUCUAUGUUGUUUUCCAUAAAUACAUUCAACAUAUGGUUUGAGUGCAUUACCUCUAACUUUAUAUAGGAGUUGCUUGUAAACAAGUGUUUGAAUUCUUUUUUCAUUCAUGUGUAAAAAUCGCCUAUGUCAAAGGUUAAUGGGGGAAUCAUGAACUACAUUCAUUUCUCCCUUUCCAGUUUGACUUAUAUCAAAUAGAUGGUACAUUAUUUCUUUCCUCUGGCAAUAAUGAGAUUUUUUUUUGCUGAGUUUUCAUUUGCCUCCACCUUUAAACUAUGAUAACCCUCAUCAUCAAGUUUUUCUGUAGAAACAAGAUGAAGGCGAAUAUCAGAAACAUAUCGAGCAUUCUCAAGAUUAGUUGGCACUCGGUAUCUGUGUCCAAAUAUAUGUCUCCCAUGCCAAUAACUCUGCACGAAAUCUCAUUUUUCAUCCUAAUAUAGCCAAGGUUUCCUUUAGUGUAGGUUGAAAAGAAAUGCCUUUGAAAAAUAACAUGGUAAAAUACACUUGAAUUAACUAUCAUAUCACUAUCAUGAUAGGUAAUAUUCACGUGACCAUCAUCACAAAACACAAAUAUAUCAUCAUGAGUUGCUACAAUUACUAUAGUCUCUUCAUCAUCUUUUUCUUUCGUCUUGCCUUUUUCUUUUUUAUCAACUUGUUUCUAUUUUAAGAUUCUACACUCCUUCAUAUAAUGUCCCUUUUUUUUGCAAUAAAAGCAUGCAUCAUUUUUUUGUAACUUAAACCUACCUCUAGAUUUGUUAUUCCUAUUAUAGGGUCCUCUAUUUUUACUUCUCCCCUUUCUUUGUUUCUUUUCUAUCACUAAGGUUUGGGAUUCAUUUACAAUUUCUUGUUCCUUCUUUCUGAAUUUUUCAUUCCUAGUAGCCUCUUUGCCAUACACAUGGUCAACACAUCGUUCGAAACUAAAUUACUAACAGAAACUGCCAUUGCCUUCUAGUUAUCUAACAGUGAACUGAACAAUAGCAAAGCCUAUAGCUCAUUAUCUAAGUUAAAGUUUAAUGUAGUUGCUUGGUUUAUUAAACCCUAAAAAUUACUUAGAUGCUCAAUUAUAUUUGCACCAUCUUUGUAUGUCAUCUGAAUAAUCUGUUUCAAAUCAGAGACUUUAUUUAAACUGAUCUUUCUUUCAUACAUACUUUCUAACUUUUCAUAGUACAUCAGUUCUAAUUUCAUUAGCAAAGUAUUUAAAAUUACUCUAAUUAAUCCACUUUCUAAUAUUAUCAAAGUUUUCUGUGCAUAACAACCCAUUUUUUCAUCACUCAUAUUACUUGAUCUAUUCUUAUUAUCUAAAAUAGAGUCAAACAAAUUUCUGCAAUACAAGUAGUCUUUCACUUUGCAAUAGAAGUUGCAUUCAAUUUUAUCAUGCAAUCACUAUCUGAAUCAUCCAUUUUAAUCAGUACAAAUGAGCAACCAAUCUGGCGGUUUUGAUACCACUUUAUUGGAAAAGGAGUAUCAGUGCAUGCACACAAUAUCAGAGUUAACACAGGAUAAAUUACUCUUUUCUCAAGUACUAGUUAAAAUAGGAACAAACCAAAUUAUCAAGUAAUGAUAUCAACAGUAAUAAUAAAAUAUAGUAAAAUAAAAGGUGCAGGACACCAAGAUUUUUAAUGUGAAAAACUCAAACUGAAAAAAAUCACGGGGUCUUGUUCAAUAAAAAAUCUUCACUAUAACAGUAUUGAAAAUACAUAAGUUUAGCCAGAACAUCCAGAUGACAACAACAUUAUCAUUAUCAACCAAGCAAAAUUGCUACAAAAUUAUCCCCCAAAAACUACAACUGUCAAAGAAGUGAAUUUGGAAGGAUGUUAUCAAAUGAAGAGAAAAUUCAAAAUCCAAACCAACAGAUGAGUAGAUCUUGACAAGAGGGACGCGUGGCUAAAUUGUCAUUUCAAUCAGGUUUCAAAUCACCAUUCGAUCAAGAUAUUGAAGUUAUUUUUCUCUCUAGUUUCUCUCCCUAAUUUUCUUUUUCUUUGUUUCUCUCAAGAACGUAAAGUAGCGACUAAAGAUUUUUCUUGUUUCUAAAAAGGAAAAAAAACAUGGCUCUAACACUAGUCAAGAGACUAUUCACUAGGUUUGCUUCAAGUCAAGUUGACUUGAUCAAUUGAUGGGCUUUGGUUUGUGGGCCACCAAAUGAGGAGGACCAAGCCAAACAUGAAAUAUGUAAAUGUACAAUUGUGACUCGAGUGUACAAAUAAAACAUGAAAACUUACAAAUGAGUUUUGAGAAAUGUAUAAAUGAGAUAUGGUAAUAAGUGUUAAAACGGAGUAAGAAUCAACAUGUGUAUCUGGCUUUGGAUCUAGCUAGAUCCAAGUCAAUUCAUGUCCAGAAAAGGCACUACUUGAGAAUAGGAUAUGCACUUUGUAUUUGCUCCUAUGGAGGGAGGAUCAACAUGCGAAUGCUUUAAGGCUUGGUCAUAGAAUUGGAGCUGUAAGCGGAUCUUGGCAAGGUUUAGAAUGCUCUAGAUUUAUUGUGGGAACUUUUCAUGUGUAAAAGUGGUUACUUUGAUCCUGGCAAAGUCUUAUCAUUUUAUUUCGGGUAAAAUACCAAAAAUCCCUCCUGUGGCUUGCCUAAUGUAUAAUUUAUCUCUUUCUGGUUUGAAAAUAUACAAUUUAACUCCUUAUCAUUUCAGUUAAAGUGAAAGUCUAACGGAAAACAUCUAAACUAACGUUUAAAUGGAACAUAUCAAAAUUGCUCCUCUAUAAAUGAAAACAUUAGAAGAAUAUUUCGUCAUUUUGAGAAUUCAAAAAAAAGAGAUGUAAGAGAGAAAGAGAGAGAAGCAAAGCUUUGGAAACCCUAGGAAGACACAAUCAGUUAUUUGCAAAAAUUUCUCAACAAUUGGUGAAGAUUUCUAGCAGAAUAGGAUGUCAAUUGCAAGCACAAGACAUCAACUGCAUCAUAUUGAAGACUCAGAAGAAGACCCGUAGUAGGAUGGGUAAGUUUCUAAGCUUCGAAUGCUUCCUAUUUUUAUGAUCUCUUAGUUUAGGGAAAUAAUUUGGAUAAUAAUGUGGAUAAACACCUUGUUUGUACGCUGCUAUGUAUUGAAGUGAUUUUUUGUAGACUAAGAUGUAUUGUGAUUGUUACGAUUGAUGUUUUCAAUUUCUUUGAUAUCUUAAUUUGUUCGAAUAAUUUGGAUAAAAGUGUGAAUAAACACCUAGAUCCAUUUGUUUGUAUAUAUUGAAGUGAAUUUUUCUAGAUCUAGAUGUAUAUGACUUUUAUGAUAAAGCCAAUUUGUUAGAAAAAGGUUGAUAAAUCCUAGCUGUUGAAAAGAUAUGAACUUUACGAAAAUUUUAAUUUUAUAAUGGUUUAGAUCACCGUCAUGAUUGUGGUUAGAUUAUUAUUAUUGUUGGCAAUUUAGUGGUCUAGAUAGGGUCAGGUUCUUGUGAGUAGUUGUAGUGAACAUACAUCGUUAUCAUGUUUGCUUUUUUAACGUAAAGUAUAGACAACUUAUUUUUUAUAUAUCUAUACUAUAUAUAUAUAUAUAUAUAUAUAUAUUUGCAUUUGUCUGGUUAACCGAAGACAACACAUAAGCAAAGGAAAAAGAAAUGGUUGAAAUACACUUGUACUUUAGUGGGAUUUUUAGAAGUGUGCCAAGCAUAGCCUAUGUAAGAGAUUACAGGCUAGCUAUAUGGAAGGAUAGAGCUCCAAGUGAACUGUCCAUAGUUGGACUAUGUAGAAUGUUCAAGUUAAUUGAGAAGGAUGCAACCAGGGUCAAUUUUUGGUGGUAUGUAUUAGAUUUGAACAUGGAGACUCGAUUGCUGCCAAUAACAGGGAAGAUGACCAUUAAAUUGAUGAAUGAUGCACAUUUGCAUCUUCCUGUGAGGGUGAUAUAUAAUUGUAAGUGGGAACCAAACAUUUGAAGAGCCUCUCCAACAUAGUGAUGGGGUCAACAUGUUGCAAAAAGAUGGUGCAAAUGCUAACCACACAUGUGAAGAAAUUGCGGAUAAUAGAGCUGCAAAGGUAUAGCUGGACUAGAUGUGGACACCAAAACUAAGUGUUGUGGACAAAGUAGGUAAAUCAAAAAAUAUUGAGCUUGAUUGGUUAGAUGAAGGGCUUGAGAGCGGCGAGGAUGAAGACAUUUUUGCUGUGAAUGCAUCUAAGAAAGAGGCUGCUAAGUCAAAGUUGCAUUUGUUUACUCUGAAUGGUGAUGUCAAAAGUCCAAAAAAAAUUAACUGCAGGAGACUAGCCUACUAUUCAGGAGAGGGAAACAUUAGCAAAUUACUACUCUACACGUUCACACUUGUAGGACAGUGGAAAUCAUGUACAACAAUAGCCCAAAGAAGACUUUGAAGCACUAAAUAGUGAAAUUGGAUUAGAAGCCAAUUGGAAUGAACCUGCAAUCCCAAAUGAGGAGCUACUGGAGAGGACUAAUUUCGAUGGCGAGAAGCCUGAAGAAUAUCUUGAUUUGAAUCCAAAAUUUGGGUUUAAGAAUCCUCAUUUUGAACUAAAAGUGGACUAAAGGUUCAAAAAUUUUAGAUUAUUCAGGAUGGCUUUGUUGGAAUGGAAUAUGAGAGAGAGGUAUGAAAUGAAGUGGAUCAGAAAUGAAUCUUAUCGAAUUACAGUUGAGUGUGAGAGAGGUUGCUCAUGGAGGAUCCAUGCAUCAAAAGUUCAAGUGACUAGUACCUUCCAGAUCAAGACUUUGAAGAGUACGCACAUUUGUGGUAGAGAGUACAACAACAAACAUGUUACAUCAAGGUACUUUAGCCAACGAUAUCAAUUUAAGAUUAGGGAUGAUCGUACGUGCAACUUAAUUGGCUUUCAGAAUGAGGUUAAAAGGGAUUUGAUGGUUAAUAUCACUUCAUCUAAGCUGUAUAGAGCGAAGAGGAAGGCAAGAGAAGAUAUACAGGGAUUAGACAUAGAGCAGUAUCAUAAUCUAUGGCAUUAUGCAGCCAUGAUCGUGGAGUAUAAUCCUGGUAGCAUAGCAAAGUUCAAAUUGACAAACCUAAUGCAGCAUCUAGAGAUAUAUUUGAAAAAAUUUACUUCUGUCUUCAUGCUUGCAAGCAGGGAUUUCUUGGCGGACGUAGACCAAUUAUUGGUCUAGAUAGGUGCUUUGUAAAGAGUACAUUUGGUGGCCAAUUAUUAUCUGCCUUAGGGAGAGAUGGUAAUGAUAAUAUGAUCCCAAUAGCAUUGGCUGUUGUUGAAGUUGAAAGGUAUGACUCAUGGAGGUGGUUCCUACAGCUUUUGCUAGAUAAUUUAGGAUUAGGGAUGGACAACAUACCUUAGACCUUCAUUCCAGAUCAACAAAAAGGACUAGUUCAACCUCUUAGAGAGUUUUUUUUCUGAGUCUGAGCAUAGGUUCUGCAUAAGACAUAUGUAUCAAAACUUGAGCUAAAAAUUCACAGGAAAGAGUUGAAGGACUUAUUUUGGGCAUGUGCAAGUGCUAGAAUGAGGCAGACUAGCAUGUGACACUGAAAGACAUGGAAAAAGUUGACUCACAAGCAUCAACAUGGCUUUCAAAAUGUCCACUAACUCUGUGGACCAGAUCACACUUCAGUGGAAGAAGUAAGUGUGACAUAUUGGUUAACAAUUUAAACAAGUCAUUUUAUAAUUACAUUCUUUCUGUCACGGCCCCACCUCCCCUUAAGGCGAACCAAAGGGUUUGGCGAGUCGCCUGCCCGGCUCUCGCCGGGACUCAGUCGUUCCUUAAUCAAAUCCAGAAUAAAUCACAAGAAUAAAUAGGGCAGCAAUCCAAACUUAAAGCGGAAUUUGGCCUUGAAAACGCGAUAACUGGAUGUCGAUGUCUUCAUAGGAAAUGUAGGUCUAGGUUUUAGCUUCGAAACGCUAUAAAAUUCGCCUCAAUCCGAUAAGCGUAACUCCAAUUAUGAUCAAAACACCCGAGGAUGGCAAAGCUGCCUUUCUUUUUGUUCCCGAAUGCACUUUGCUAAGAUGCUAACUGUGAGGAACCAACUUUUAACCAGCAUUUCCUCUAAUUUUCAACUUUGUAAGCUUUCAUAAAUGAUAGUUACGGUUAGUCUGAGAUUUAAUGGCUAUAUAUAGCUCCACAAGUAGAGUUAAACUAAAGUAAAUGAGAGGAAAACUCAUGAUAAUUAAAUUGGCUUCUAAUUACUUAAUACUGCCUUUACAAAUAAUUUAAAGACUAUAAAAUUUGAGGGACUGGUGUACUGGAAUAAAAUUUAAUUUACAAACAAUCUAGAGUUUAAUUAAUUAAAAAGGCGACCAAUAGAGUGCUCCUAAGCCAUAAUCUUAGAAUCUUGAGUGGAAAAUGAUUUAAUUCUAGAAUAAAUAUCUUAUAAAUUAUUAACUUGGGAAAACAGGUAUAAUUCUUGAUUAAAACAAUAAAGUCAAUAAGUUUCAAAAUAAAAUGAAAAAUGAAUAUUGAAUAUAUUAUAUUUGUACUUUAAAGUCAAACUUGAUUUUAAUAGUUCAAGUGAUAAAGUAAGAACAAUAAGUGAACAUCUACAAACUAUGUAUUUGAUUUGGAAUUAUUAACUUGUCCAGGAAGUAGCUGUGAACCAGAAAAUCGACUCGAGACUCGAGAGUAAUUUAUUUGGAUAUUUGGUGAGUGUUUUCUGAAUUUAUGUGUUAAACUGCUUAUGUGUACCUAAGUGCAAUUAUAUGGCAAAUGUGCUUAUUAUGAAAUAUUGCUAAGUGAUUCAUUGGAAGCGUAUCUCAAUUGUCCCUCGUCUUCUAAGUCGAGGGUGUACUUUAUCGCACUUGACUUAGUUGAACUUGAAGAUUGAUAAUUGAUCAAGUGAUAUUGUAAGUGUGCAUGACUGUAAGCCGUGUGUGUACUUUAUCACGCCGGCUGAACUGGGCCCCAAAACCCUCUGUUCAACGGACUAUUCGAGCCAGCAAAGGGCUUGGUCGGUAGGACGGUAGGUUUGGGUAAGUGUUUUGGUAUGCUUGAGUAUUACCACGGUGUACUAGAUUACUGAUAUUGAUAUGGCCAUCCAAGUGAGGGAAGUGUUUAUUGUUUUGGAGGUUAUAAGGAGGAGUUCGGCGGAGUGUGUAGUGCAUUGAAGUGGCUCUAAUGCGAGCACCGUAUCCUUUUAAAAGUGAUUGUUCAGUGAAGUGUUUCCUCAAUUGCUAAUGAAAGUGAUUGUACAGUGAAAUGUGCACUAUUUAUUUAAUUGUAUUGAUUCAUGUGAUUAUUAAAUGUUACUUGCAUGGAAACCUCACGGGCGUAAGCUCACCCUUUUAGUUUUGUUUUCCUUACAGGAGUCAAAGAUUGAAGAGUGAUUGGAUUGAACUAGAAAGUUAUUUUGGGAAGAUCCAUUAUUCUGUGUAUAUAGUGUAGGCAUGGUCUCUGUUGAAUUUUGAAACGGUUGAAUUUUUGUUUGAGUUGGUGUGAUAUUAAGAAUGGAUAUUUAGAACAGGUAUUUUGUUUCUUUUAUUGGACAAAUUUAUGUUUCAAACUGAUUGGAGAUGUACUUAAGAGUGAAUGUUCAGUUGUUCAAUAGUAAUGUUAUCUUUGAAGUUAAUGUAAGUGAGUGAGUUCUGGCGAGAGUCAGGCAGACGAUUCGCUAACUUCUAGAGUAGACCCUAGGAGAAGGUGGGGCCGUCACACUUUAGAAUUGUCAAUUUCUGACAAAUUCAAAGCAAAAUUUUUGCCUCUUAUUUUUACUGAGAAA
rnacentral:lncRNA from 1 species